UCUUGGCGCCAAUGGGGGGAAAGCCUGACGCCAGCAACGCCGCGUGGGGGGACGAAGNCCUUCGGGUUGUAAACCCCUUUCAAGCCAGGGACGNAACAUGACGGUACCUGCAGAAGGAAGCCCCGGGCCAACUAACGUGCCAGCAGCCGCGGUAAUACGUAGGGGGGCGAGNCGUUGUCCGGAUUUAUUGGGCGUAAAGAGCUCGUAGNCGGUUUGGGCAAGUCGGGGUGUGANAACUCCGGGCUCAACUCGGAGACGCCACUCGAUACUGCCAUGACUCGAGUCCGGUAGGGGAGUGCGAAAUUCCUGGUGUAGCGGUGAAAUGCGCAGAUAUCAGGAGGAACACCGGUGGCGAAGGCGGCACUCUGGGCCGGAACUGACGCUGAGGAGCGAAAGCGUGGGGAGGCGAACAGGAUUAGAUACCCUGGUAGUCCACGCCGUAAACGUUGGGCACUAGGUGUGGGGCUCGAUCGACGGGCUCCGUGCCGUAGCUAACGCAU
rnacentral:rRNA from 1 species